AUUGAACGCUGGCGGCAGGCUUAACACAUGCAAGUCGAGCGGUAACAGAGAGAAGCUUGCUUCUCUGCUGACGAGCGGCGGAUGGGUGAGUAAUGCCUAGGAACCUGCCUAGUAGUGGGGGAUAACUUGCCGAAAGGUAAGCUAAUACCGCAUACGUCCUACGGGAGAAAGGAGGGGACCUUCGGGCCUUUCGCUAUUAGAUGAGCCUAGGUCGGAUUAGUUAGUUGGUGAGGUAAUGGCUCACCAAGACCGCGAUCCGUAACUGGUCUGAGAGGAUGAUCAGUCACACUGGAACUGAGACACGGUCCAGACUCCUACGGGAGGCAGCAGUGGGGAAUAUUGGACAAUGGGGGGAACCCUGAUCCAGCCAUGCCGCGUGUGUGAAGAAGGUCUUAGGAUUGUAAAGCACUUUAAGUUGGGAGGAAGAGCAGUUAACUAAUAUUUGACUGUUUUGACGUUACCGACAGAAUAAGCACCGGCUAACUUCGUGCCAGCAGCCGCAGUAA
rnacentral:rRNA from 1 species